AGAGUUUGAUCCUGGCUCAGAACGAACGCUGGCGGCGUGCCUAACACAUGCAAGUCGAACGGAUCAAGCAAGGAGCACAGAGCGCAUGGCAAAGCGCGGAGAGCAAAGGGCAUAGAGAAAAAAUACCCUAUGCGCUUAGCGCUAUGCUCUAUGCAAGCUGUGUGCUGUGUGCUCUUUGCUUGGUUAGUGGCGGACGGGUGAGUAACACGUAGGUAACCAACCCUCAAGCGGGGGACAACUCUUCGAAAGGAGAGCUAAUACCGCAUAAGACCACGAACUGGGAUGUUUGUGGUAAAAGGAGCAAUUCACUUGAGGAUGGGCCUGCGGCCUAUCAGGUAGUUGGCGGGGUAACGGCCCACCAAGCCUAAGACGGGUAGCCGGACUGAGAGGUUGAACGGCCACACUGGAACUGAGACACGGUCCAGACUCCUACGGGAGGCAGCAGUGGGGAAUUUUGCGCAAUGGGGGAAACCCUGACGCAGCGACGCCGCGUGGAGGAUGAAGGUCUUCGGAUUGUAAACUCCUUUUGUCGGGGAAGAUAAUGACGGUACCCGAUGAAUAAGCCACGGCUAACUCUGUGCCAGCAGCCGCGGUAAGACAGAGGUGGCAAGCGUUGUUCGGAAUUACUGGGCUUAAAGGGCGCGUAGGCGGUGGAGUAAGUCUGAGGUGGAAGAUUAGGGCUUAACCCUAAAAUUGCCUUGGAAACUGCAUCACUUGAGUAAGCGAGGGGAUGGC
rnacentral:rRNA from 1 species